CUGAAUACUGUAACGGUCCCCUUUAAAAGAACGAGGACUCAGUGCUGAGCUGACAGGAAGCCCCAGGGUUGUCCUACAUGUGGGUGACUCUGUGCUGAAAGCAUGGGAACAGCC
rnacentral:snoRNA from 7 species